rnacentral:Y_RNA from 1 species
GGUUGGUCCGAUGGCAGUGGGAAACGAAACUACUUGGUACAGAAUGUCUAAGACAAGCAAUUUCUAUGUUUCAUAUCUCCCCCUCACUGCUGAACUUGACCAGCCUUUU